GCGAGGGGUUUGCGGAAAGGGAGGGGCGGGGCGGGAGCAGGCCGGAGUCUGCAAGCCAGGGGACUGUCGCAGCGGAGUUGGCCGCCAGUGUCAGUGCUGGCGGUGCGGUUGCCCUCUUCCAGGGCAGAGAGUGGGGACGCUCCUUCCGGGCCCCGGUUCCCGCCCCGGCGCCACCAGGGUCGGCGCCAGAGACCCGAAUCCGGGAGGCUCUGGCUUGAUGGCGGCGAGGUGGGCUCUGGGGCCUCCCCAGGUCAGGCCGAGUUUAGUCUGCGCAGGCGACAGCGGGGGCGUGGGCCCAGGCCAAAGGAAGAAGGACCCCAAAGCAGAAAGGCGCUUUACUUCUCCCCACUAGCGCCUUAGUCCUUGCCUAAAUUACUCAUCUACGGUAGGACUAUCUUCCGGUUCUCUCUCUACCGACAACCUUGCCUGAAAUCUAGACCCCAGACGUGGCAGCACCUGGGAUGCUCUAGGAUGUCUUUAAGCUGGAAUGACUGUUCAGAGCUAGGUUUUAUAUGACAUGAUCUCAAGGCAUCCCUGCCCUGAAGUUCUUCCAGAAAGUCUGGAAUCAAGGAGUACUGCAAGACUAGAAUACAAAAUACAGAGAGUUGAAAUUUUGUGAGCAGAUGAUGUGCAGACCAACAAUCUACAACUUACCACAGGGUUUCCUUCUUCAGAUAUACAGUAUUUAAUUCUGUAUUAUAAAAAUUCCUAUGUUCUUAAGAACAAUAACAACAACAGCAGCAAGCUCUGCCUUGGUAAUUUACUUUUGAUUGAAGUAUUACAUAUGUGUCCUUAUCCCCCCAUUGCCUUCCUCCCCCCGUUCAUGCCCUCACCCCCAUGGUGUCUGUGUCCAUUGGUUAUGCUUAUAUGCAUGCAUACAAGUCCUUUGGUUGAUCUCUCCUUAUCCCCACCCUCCCCUACCUUGCCUCUGAGCUUUGGGCAUCUGAUCGAUGUUUCUCUGUCUCUGGAUCUGUUUUUGUUCAUCAGUUUAUGUUGUUUAUUAUAAUCCACAAAUGAGUGAGUUCAUGUGAUAUUUAUCUUUCUCUGAUUGGCUUAUUUCACUUAGCAUAAUGCUCUCCAGCAGUUUGGCAAAAGAAAUAAAUCAAGUGACUACAGUAUUCAUUUGUUGGGUGGGUGCUCUGUUACCUUUUAAUUAAAAUGAGGUUUAGAAGUUAAUUUUAGAUUUUUAACUUUUAACUUCCUUAAAUAUUAAACAAAGACAAUGGAUAUUUAAUUCUAGCAGGAGAGAUCUAAGUUAAAGAGAAGAAAGCCUGGGAGAAAGAGGAUAUAUCUAUAGUUGAUCAAUUACUUUACACUACGCUAAAUGCUUUUUAUAUGUUAGUUUAUAUAAGUCAGUGAGGGUUGACUUUGAAAUAAUACUAAAAGUGCUAAUUAGUUUACAUUAUUAUUUAGAAAUUAUUAAGCAUCUGUGUAUAAAACAUAUACCAGAAGAUAAAACAGAGGUUAAAAAUAAUUGUAAAUAUACAUCUUUUCUCUGGUUAUUGAAGAAAUUUAAUUAUCCUGGAUCAUCUUCUAAAGAGAAUGAGUGUAUGAUGAGAUUUUGUCUGGAGUCACUACUAAUUCCAUUAUUCAAUGUAAGUCUUAUUCCACUACCAAUAGAAGAAUAAAUAACCACAAUAAAGUGCUAUCAAAUGA